rnacentral:rRNA from 1 species
GAUGAACGCUAGCGGGAGGCCUAACACAUGCAAGCCGAGCGGUAGAGAUUCUUCGGAAUCUUGAGAGCGGCGUACGGUUGCGGAACACGUGUGCAACCUGCCUUUAUCAGGGGGAUAGCCUUUCGAAAGGAAGAUUAAUACCCCAUAAUCUAUUUGAUGGCAUCAUUAGAUAUUGAAAGCUUUUGCGGAUAGAGAUGGGCACGCGCAAGAUUAGUUAGUUGGUGAGGUAACGGCUCACCAAGUCGAUGAUCUUUAGGGGGCCUGAGAGGGUGAUCCCCCACACUGGUGCUGAGACACGGACCAGAAUGCUACGCAAGGCAGCAGUGAGGUAGAUUAGACGAGGGGUCAGCGCCUGAUCCAGCCGUCCCGCGUGAAGGACGACGGCCCUAGGGGUUGUAAACUUCUUUUGAACAGGGAUAAACCUACUAUCGUGCGAGUAGCUGACGGUACUGUAAGAAUAAGCACCGGCUAACUUCGUG